GACGAACGCUGGCGGCGUGCUUAACACAUGCAAGUCGAACGGAAAGGCCUGCUUUCCCUUGUGGAUUGCGGGUACUCGAGUGGCGAACGGGUGAGUAACACGUGAGUGAUCUGCCCCCAACUUGGGUAUAAGCCUGGGAAACUGGGUCUAAUUCCCGAUAGGGCUGCAGGGUGGUGCCUGUGGUGGAAAACGAUUUUCUAGUGGUUGGGGAUGAGCUCGCGGCCUAUCAGCUUGUUGGUGGGGUAAUGGCCUACCAAGGCGGCGACGGGUAGCCGGCCUGAGAGGGUGGACGGCCACAUUGGGACUGAGAUACGGCCCAGACUCCUACGGGAGGCAGCAGUGGGGAAUAUUGCACAAUGGGCGGAAGCCUGAUGCAGCGACGCCGCGUGGGGGAUGACGGCCUUCGGGUUGUAAACUCCUUUCGACCGCGAGGAAGCCACCUGGUUGGAAGGGUGGUGACGGUAGUGGUAGAAGAAGCACCGACUAACUACGUG
rnacentral:rRNA from 1 species